GCGUGUUGGUGUGAGGAGGAAGUAGGGCACCUAGGAGGAGAGAGAGGAGAGGAGGGAGGAACAGGCGCGCGGGUAGGGGGCCGUGAGAGAGCGAACGGAGGGCCUGGUCGGUGGUGGCGCGGCGACCCCGAGCCGGCGGCGCGCGUCGCUGUCCCCAUCCGAGUUCCGCCGUGUGUGAAGUACUCCACAUCCCCUCCCGUCCCACUCGCGGUCUCGGUCCGUUCCUUCAUCCCGCACUGCCCCAGCCUAGACCGCCACCACCCAUCGUCGAGCUCGAUCUCCAACUCUGCCCCUUCCAGUUUUUUACUCCUUCGAGCUCGACCUCUACGUGUUGAUCGCAGUCGCCGGUAGGCUACCCAAGCUCGUGCUCCGUUGCGAGGGCAGUGCUGCACCACCUCGACGCGUCCUCGCCCUCCUCCAACCGCUGUCCCUUGGCCCGGCCCCUCCUCCGUUCCAUACACAACAGGGCACAAAAAAGAGAAACGUAAAAGGGGGAUGGCACGUAGACGAACAACAGUCUCACUUAAGUACGGUGGUUUAAGAACCUAUAUUACUCAUGGUUCUAUACAUACGACUGUACACUCAAUUAAUAAACCUUUUUUAUAUUAGUAUAUACAUAACGGUUGUUGAAAAUACAAAUUUCGUUGGUUAAAACACUUUUAUCAUCUUUCUUUCUAUGUACACGUUAAAAGAACUACAAUGUCUCCUACCCAUGAGCUACAAAGUUGUAUUCGUGUCUACUUAUCCAUGUUUAAGCUCCUUUCUGGUUACUAUAUCAACAGACAUGUACACACGGUUGUCUGUUAUUAAAGUUAAAGUGUCUACAGUUGAACCACCAACCGAGAGGUGAUGGCGAGAAAGGUUCGGCUAUACUCCGGUUAUUAAUUAUUAUACUAUUAUCAUCAGAUUUCAUACCCGGAUAUUAUCGAAUGGUAGAAAAGUUAAUCAGCAAAAGACCUUUAUAUUUAGAAGACCUCAUUUACUACGGAUAACAAAUAUAAAUAUGUGUUAGUUUUCUCUUUGUUUUAAUCUUGUAAAGGAGGACCGAGUCUUUUUUAAUUUGUACUGUGUUAACGAAAUAAAAGAUUCUUUGACUCUGGUCGUGUUAAUCAAAAUAGUGUCUACAGCGUAAUGUAGUGUCAUGUUAAUACAUUACGUUACAAUACUUCAUUUUAUAUGGGAAAGUGUGAAGAAUCAAGACGAAAUGACAAGAAGUAAGUAACUGUUAAUAAAAAUACGUUUCGUUCUCGAGAGAUUAACCAAAUGAUAAAAUCAAAUUAGGAAGGUAAGAAAAAACACGUAUGUGUGAAAUUAAUUGUAUCCGACCUUCUUUUUUGUCAGACGGGUCUAUCUAAUUUUCUUCCGUAAAUGGUUCUCAACCCCGGAAGUCGGAGCUGUACAUCUAAGACCAAGGUCCAGGGGCACUAUCUCUCACCACGCAGCUCCGCUUUUGGGUUCCAACGCCGUAACUAUGGGUGGUUUGUGGAGUAUUAGAGGUAAAUACGAACUACACCAGUUAUUAUAUUUUCUUGUCUUCGAAUUCGUGUUGGUGACUGAAGAUGGUGGAAGGGUUUUGUUUCGUAGACUUCGAUGUAAUUAGACGUUCGGGUCUAAAGGUAUAUAAAAUAAUACCACUUUUGUUGGUGUAGCUUCUAUUUUUACUUAGUAGUGUAGAGCACCUUUAAUAAUAAUGUCGAUCGAGUAUAUCUCCGGACUUCUUGUUGGAGACAAGUGUACUGGUUGUGGUACAUAACUAGAUAAUCUGUUUUUCCAUUUUUGUUUGUGAAGACUCUGGAAGUAAAUAUCACAUCGAAACGAGUCACCCAUUCUCACGUUUUAGUACAGUACACGAGAUAAUGUGUCUUUUUUUAGUUUGUAGUUUUACGUCCUUGUUCGUACUGACAUAAGUUCUCUCUCUAUUAAGUGGAACCCGAAGAACUAGUGUAACAAGGAGUUUUAAGAAGAAGAUGAGAGGUGUUCAUUGGUUUUUAACUCCGUAACCUUUUACGUAAGGGGAGGACUAGGAACUUUAGUCUUCUUUGUGAGUAUACGUUUUCUACAUCAUGCAGAUCCCACUCUAAAGUUCAAAAACGGAUAGGGACAAUCAUGCAGAUCCCACUCUAAAGUUCUAAAGGUCCCACAAUAUACACCAACUUCCCUGUAGGGACAAUCAAACGUACCAGAAACAAUUCUUCCCCGUUAUGUUACGACCAGUUCAAACAAAUAUAAGACUACCGACAACUUAAAACCAUUUACCUCUAUACUAAAAAAAUACAUCUAUCCAUGAUCGGUAUCUUAUGAAAUGAGUAACUGCUGUCCAUCGAAAUCUCUUGAAGAUUUUAAAGGUUAGAUCCAAAAGACACUAGGUAAGUUCUUCUCGAGUGUCAGACGUGAUCCCAUAUUUUAAUAGAUAACGAAUGUAAACACGGAGCCGUAUACGAACACUACGUAGCACGAUGGUCUCCGGUAGAAAUAGGUUAUAGUAUCGCUACGAUGUUGACGGACAACGAACGAGGUGUGUGGACUAAAGAGUAUAUAUCUAUAAUUAAAGGAAAGUACCUUCCGGAAGUAAUGUAAAGUCCUAGACCACUCUUAAUUAAACCCAUUAUCAGGGUCCCAUCUUACACCUUUGUAGAAACUGACUUACUUUUGUGAAUUACUGUAUUCAAUACAGUAAAAAGUCUUACCAAACAAACGAAACUGUUGAUAAAUGUAACACCAAAUAAAACCAAAGUGGUAUAAACAUACAUGUAUAAAAGCAUCCAACAUAACGUAUACUCGAUAACCACUUUGGACUUACAGAUACCAUACCACCGUCGCUCUACAAAUUGUACUCCACAACGUCGAUCCAUGGAUGAAGUGAACAAUAGAAUCAAGUUUUUUCACGAUCCGCAAUUAACACGCAAAACGGUGGCGGAACGCGAAAAGACUGGUUUCGCGUACGAAUACGCGUUAAUACGCGUCUAAUUCGCGUCAAUACGCGAUACGCAAAACGGUAGCGGAUCUCGGACCGGUGUGAAUUCGCGAGCGAAUCCGCACGGAAAAAAUUGAUACGAACAAUAAGACAGGUAAGACGCCGAUGAAGAAAACUAAAAUUUCCUACAAAUCUUAGUCUUGUUUUCAUUCUCUCUCAAACCAACAUGUACAUUUAACCAGUAAGUUGCACUUAAAGACGGUUUGCUCCGAAUUUGGACUUGUUAUCAACAACAUCUUGGAAACUCGACCAGGUAAAGUCCGAAUUUGGAAUUGUUCUUUCGUGAACAACGAAACACAAAAAAUAAAAGAAUCACCUACACACUUGUAAACUCGACCAGGUAAAGUCCCGCAUAAAUAUAUGUACUUUAAGGAGUUUCACUUUCAACGGCUCCCAAACUAGUAGAAAGACAUAUGAGUAUACCACCGAGAGGAUGAACUAAUGGUUCAUUUAUAAACCUCCCAAUGUUACUAGGUUGGAAAUGUUGUGAUGUGCUCGUACCGAGAUUUAGUAGUCAAUUGAUGUUCUUUGUAAACGAUGUUCACGGCAACUACUGUAUCUAAUGUCCUUGUACCGACUACAGAACAUACGUUGUAAAUUUAAACUUGACACGGCAAUAAUCAGGUUGGCCAAUGGAUUCUCCAACUAGGUUCAAUUGAAAUGCAAGAUACACUGUCCUACAAACUGUCACAACCGUAUUACCUUCACUUUUGAAUAUAUUAUAUAAAACAAACACGGUUCUGUAACACAGUGGAGGUACGAUUUGGAUAGGUUGAUUGAUGCAUAGACGUGGUACUAACGAGCGGCCCCUAUAUCUAUAUACGGAUUGUAGUCCAAUAAUGGUGUGAUGUCCUGAAAGAUCCUAUUCACACAGUAACGUAGAUUUCCAUAUACUAGUCAAAGAGUUGAGUACAUAAAAAAUUAGGAGUUAUAUAGCGACGAACGGACCGAACAGGAUGUAAACACUCCAACAACUCCUUCAAGUCAAUAACGUACGCCGCAUAUUGAACUCAACGGAUGUAUACUAAAACGGUCAAGCUGCCUUUGAAUCUUAUUUCUUCCCUUGAGAGUCAAAAUAACAAAACGAGAAGGGUCUAAAAUCCGACCCAAAUAAUUGUAGAUACGGUGUGUGAUUUAAACCUAGAGUUACAUUCUAAUUUAUCCCUACUUAGUAACGCGGUAUAACUUUUUAACCUUGAUAUCUCUUCUUUCCUUUAAUAAUUUCUUCCCUAUAGCAACUAAUCCAACAACACCAGAAAGAAGCGUUUGUUACUAUAAGAUUGAACAACCAAAUUAAAUCCACACACCCAAUAUCCUCGAUGUUCCUCUCUAUAAAAUCAACGUUAACUCGAAAUAGAGUUUCACUUUGUACCAUCUGUACGUCUCGUACGGACCACAAAAAGAGAUGUCAAGACCCGACGGUACCACAGUUAAAACUUGAACGUUUUACUUGACAUUUUACAAAAUUAUGGAACCGUGUACAUCAAGAGAAAUGGACGAGACCGAUGAAGUAGAGACAAAUAAAUCGUCCAAGACGCUAGAGGACACAAUGACGUAGAACUAGAAGACGAAACGAUAUUGAGACAAGACGACGAACUCCCUGUUGGUUCUAGUUCUUAGGCCUGAGGCCGAGCUAAGGCCGAAGAUACCUAUUCCACUGUGGAUUAUUCCUAGAUAUCUUGUUGUCUCUACGAUUCUUCUCCGCUGGAAAACCCCAAUACCUAUACUUGUUGUUGUCUCGAAUACUCCGGCUUCUCACGAAGUCACCGCAGAAAACCAAGAAGUUCGGGACGUGAAAGAACCACCUCGUCGUUUUAUUAGGCCUCCGAAAUUUCGAUGACGUGAAGUACAUCAAUCCUAGCUAAGAAACAAAGCCAAACUUUAUGGGGUUCAAGGAGGAUAAACUAACUAAGUAGAUUACCUGUAAGACAGUCCGUUUAUUUCUCUUUCGUAUACAUAACAAUGGUUACUUCGGUAGGCAUGUCCAGUUAUAUAAUUAUUAGGGUAUACACCUUAAGUUCUAUAUCUCCUUACAAUAAAAGACGAUU
rnacentral:rRNA from 1 species